rnacentral:rRNA from 1 species
AGCCUGAGAAACGGCUACCACAUCUACGGAAGGCAGCAGGCGCGUAAAUUACCCAAUCCUGAUUCAGGGAGGUAGUGACAAGAAAUAACAACUCGGGGCCUCACGGCUUACGAGAUUGCAAUGAGAACAAUUUAAAAUCUCUUAGCGAGGAACAAUUGGAGGGCAAGUCUGGUGCCAGCAGCCGCGGUAAUUCCAGCUCCAAUAGCGUAUAUUAAAGUUGUUGCAGUUAAAAAGCUCGUAGUUGAAUUUCUGAUUAUGGAUGUAGCGGUUUCCGUUACAUUUGUAGUCAUCCACAUGAGAACCUUUCUCGGCCUUCACUGGUCGGUUGGGGGAUCAUGUACUUUACUUUGAAAAAAUCAGAGUGUUUCAGGCAGGCGUUUGCAUGAAUACACAAGCAUGGAAUAAUGGAAUAGGACUAGGGGUCCAUUUUUAUUGGUUAUUGGACCAUAGUAAUGAUUAAUAGGGAC